UUUACGGGGGAGCUACUGCUGAGAAAUCCCUUGCGGGAUGACCCCAGAACCUGAUCCGGGUAAUGCCGGCGUAGGAAGGAGUUUUUUUA
rnacentral:ncRNA from 1 species